UGGAGAAAAACGAAGGAGUUCUGCUACUAAAAUUGACACAUUAACUGCGAGUGGAGAAGAAUUAAUUGAAACUGAAUGUUUAGAUGACGAUGACGUUUUAUGGUUGAAUAAUAAUAACGAGCCUUGGGAAGAUGUCAUUAGCAAAUGGAAGAAAACAUUCAGACUGAGAAGGAGGCACACCAAUUCAUCUACAGUCCAUGAUUUUCUUGAAAAUUGGAGCAUUUUAAAAAGUGAUAGAGGACAUGUCCUGAUUAAUUCCGAUUUUGAAGAACUGUUCAAAGAAAAGUCGUUGAAUUUCCAUAAGAAUUGGCAUGACUUUUUUCAGAAGCUUCUUAUAGCAAAGAAGGGCCAAAAAAAUAAUAAAAAU